GUAAGGAAUAUUGGACAAUGGACGCAAGUCUGAUCCAGCCAUGCCGCGUGAAGGAUUAAGGUCCUCUGGAUUGUAAACUUCUUUUAUAAGGGACGAAAAAAGGCUUUUCUAAGUCAUCUGACGGUACCUUAUGAAUAAGCACCGGCUAACUCCGUGCCAGCAGCCGCGGUAAUACGGAGGGUGCAAGCGUUAUCCGGAUUCACUGGGUUUAAAGGGUGCGUAGGCGGGCAGGUAAGUCAGUGGUGAAAUCCUAGAGCUUAACUCUAGAACUGCCAUUGAUACUAUCUGUCUUGAAUAUUGUGGAGGUAAGCGGAAUAUGUCAUGUAGCGGUGAAAUGCUUAGAUAUGACAUAGAACACCUAUUGCGAAGGCAGCUUACUACGCAUAUAUUGACGCUGAGGCACGAAAGCGUGGGGAUCAAACAGGAUUAGAUACCCUGGUAGUCC
rnacentral:rRNA from 1 species